UGGGGAAUAUUGGACAAUGGGCGAAAGCCUGAUCCAGCCAUGCCGCGUGUGUGAAGAAGGUCUUCGGAUUGUAAAGCACUUUAAGUUGGGAGGAAGGGCAUUAACCUAAUACGUUAGUGUUUUGACGUUACCGACAGAAUAAGCACCGGCUAACUCUGUGCCAGCAGCCGCGGUAAUACAGAGGGUGCAAGCGUUAAUCGGAAUUACUGGGCGUAAAGCGCGCGUAGGUGGUUUGUUAAGUUGGAUGUGAAAUCCCCGGGCUCAACCUGGGAACUGCAUUCAAAACUGACUGACUAGAGUAUGGUAGAGGGUGGUGGAAUUUCCUGUGUAGCGGUGAAAUGCGCAGAUAUAGGAAGGAACACCAGUGGCGAAGGCGACCACCUGGACUAAUACUGACACUGAGGUGCGAAAGCGUGGGGAGCAAACA
rnacentral:rRNA from 1 species